GAUGAAGAACGUAGCGAAAUGCGAUAAGUAAUGUGAAUUGCAGAAUUCAGUGAAUCAUCGAAUCUUUGAACGCACCUUGCGCCCUUUGGCUAUUCUGAAGGGCAUGCCUGUUUGAGUAUCAUGAACACCUCAACUCUCAUGGCCCGCCAUGAUGAGCUUGGACUUUGGGGGUCUUGCCGGCCUAGCGUCGGCUCCUCUCAAAUUAAUCAGCUUGCCAGUGUUUGGUGGCAUCACAGGUGUGAUAACUAUCUACGCUUGUGGUUUUCCAUCAGGUAACCUUCAGUGAUGGAGGUUCGCUGGGGCUCAUAAAUGUCUCUCCUCAGUGAGGACAGCUUUUUUGAACGUUUGAUCUCAAAUCAGGUAGGACUACCCGCUGAACUUAAGCAUAUCAAUAAGCGGAGGA
rnacentral:misc_RNA from 1 species